rnacentral:rRNA from 1 species
GAAUUGACAGCCCCCAACCUGCAUUCAACAGUGAACGACACCCUCUGCAAAGGUGUCAGCAAACUUCCAAAUCAAAGAAACGCGGAAGUGCACACGACGCCAGCCGGAAGCGAGCGCCGAGAAAUCCCACCUUCCGAUCCAGCCCGCUCCUACGCGACGCCAUCGACGAUGUACAAGGCCAGUCUGAAUAAUCUAUGGCAGCGGCGCCGGUGGGCGGCGCCGGUGUACACCGACCGGCGCGAGGGCCCUGACCACGCGCCUACCUUCCAUUCCACCGUUGCCGUCGGCGGCGCUGAGUUCAGCUCGCCGGCGUCCGGAUCCCGCACGCUUCUCUAG